CGCGCACGCGCACACUUACCGGCUGCUGGCAAACAUUCUCGAAGGCUGGCUCGUCGAUGGAGGUGCCCAGUGUUCGCAAUAAAAUGGCGUCAGGCGUGCGAGAAGCGAGAAGUAUUAUUCCAUGUAUCUGGAAUCAGAAUCCUGUGUGAAACUUAAUGUGAAUUCAUUUACCUGAAGAAGUAUUAACAGAAACGAUUUGUGGAAUCAAAGUUGAAAGGAGAUGUUACGUUUUAAAAUGAAACAAGAAAAUAUUCCAAAAAUAUAGAACCUGUUUUAGAUUGUUAAUAAUCUGUAAUCUUCGGUCGUUAGAUGUAUAUAAAUAUGUUCCAUGAUUGACCUUCAUAGAAAUGCCUAUUACUUAUGGCCAUUCAAGCUGCCUGUCACUAGAUGAUCUGACUUGUCCAGUGUUAUCGUUGGCUGGGGCAUGUUCACAUUGGUGUUGACAAAGAAUUGGCAACAGCUAUUCCUGAAGAAGCAAAAUUGAGCAUUUCAUUGUAGACAGAAUCAACUCCUCUACCCGCAGAAGAUAUUACACAGGUGCAUCCACAUCAAUCUGAUGAACAAAAUUGCCAGUGCAUUCUAUUUGCAGGAAAUUAUGUCAGGUUGCUCCUAUCAAUUAGUGGCAAACCUUCACUUCCUAUAGUCUUAAUACAAAAAAAAUGCUUAAUAUGCCAUCAGCAUUUGAAGAUGUUGAACUCUUACCAAGACAGAAAGUGAGUGAAAUCCAAAUGUUUGGCCUUUUAGUCCAUUAGAUUCUGUCAUCAUUAGUGUCUUUUAAAAAGGUGCCUAUUGUUUGUCUUUGAGGGAGUAACAGCAUACUUAUCCUUAAAGAUGCUACAGUGAAUUUUGUUAAAUUAACAUAAAAUAAGAAAGUAACUUUUAUUAGAAGUUGUAAAAUGCUUCAAUGAAUGCACGUGUUCUGCUUUUAGUCUAAUGCUCAUUGUGGUUCAAGUUCAGAUUUAAGUUAGAUCUUCCUGAUGGAUAUUCACUUUUUUUAGUAUUCCUCUUCAUUCUUGAAACUGUUUGAUUUUCAGGGUAAUGAUGUAAAGAAAUUUUUGUUUAACUUUUAUAGCAAAAUAUAUGCUUGGUAUUAGGAAAUCAUAAUCCAGUUUGCUUCUUUCAAACAGUUAACAAAUUGAACUCAAUCAGUCAUGAUAAAUUUACUGCCAAUAAUCUGUCGUAAUGUAAGCAUGAACAUGGGACGUUAUCUGUUUAACGAUUUGACAACUUGUGUAAAUGUUGCUUUAGUGUGUGUCUAAUUUACUCAUUUACUGAUAAUGAGACGUAGUUUACCAUGAGACAUGGUUUAUUAUGCUUGAAACACAAGAUAUAUACAUGUGAUUCUAUGAAACCCGUUUCUCUCUGUAUUUUCUGAGUAACGUUACAGUUCUUAAAUUACUCAGUUUUCUGGUUCGAAAUCUGCUUUGGAAGAUGGUAAUGAAGUUUAUACAACCCCAGUUACAGUUUGCCGAGCUGAGGUUGCAGCUGAUGU